CUUACACUGAGGACUUUUUUUGGUUGCUCUGGGUUCUUUGCUCUGAAUUUAUUUUAAAAUAUUGUUUGGUAACUUGUUCAGUUUAUUUUCAUUUUUAUGGUUGAACCAACAUUAUUACUUUUUAAACUCUCACUGGAGGUUUAAGUCUUCUUAUUGUCUAAAACAAAUUUCUCCUCAGUGGCCAGUGCCAUCGGAUUUAUAGAUAACCUAUUUAAUAUGCAAAUAAAACAUUUCUACAUCAAUUCUUAUUUUCAUAUACAUUUAUGCAGAGUAACUCUGUUUAGGGCAUAGAUGAAGAAUCCAGGGCUAUAAAAAGGUCUUCCCAAUCUAACUCAGAACUCCUGCUGGGGCCCUAUGCAGGGUUCAUCGCAGGUCAUGUGAGUUGUUCAGCUUGACUAGUGAAGCAUACCACUUUUUUCACUAUGUCAAUCAUAGGUCCUAAGGCUUCUGGUGUCGUCAACCUCAAGGAGAAUUAUAUGAACGCUGGACUGUAAGCAGCAAGAAAGGAGUGAAAGCAUGAGUGUCUGCAGAGACGUGGACAGGAAUAAAGGACCCAGGCCUGAAUCCAUUAAUCUGCAUGAUGAAUUGAAGCGAUCACCACCAUUCAGAACUAUCACAUCUCCUCAAUAACCAAACUUUCUUUCUAGAUCACAUCCAUCAUGCCUACCUUUUUUUUUUUUCUCCCCAGCCUCAGUUUUUCCUGGGGGUGUCCUUUAGACUUCACUAUCUUGAAAGUUCGUUAGACAUGGAACCUAGUUACACUUAAGUAAUGACCCCAAAGGCACUUCUGUUCCUCUUUGGCGUUCAGACUUACAAGCGGCAUCAUGAUGCAAUCUCUGUCUGACAACAGCAUCAGGGUAUAUGAAGAAGAGCCCGGGACAUGGGAGGACCCACGCUUCUUCCACGUUCUUCUGUAUGUGAGGCAGUGCAGCAUCUGACAAAUUGUCCGCCUCCCUAAGCCUUCGUGUUUUCAUAUAACAUGCAUAAUUAUAAUGUCCUGUACUGCUUAUAGAUUUGAUGAAAUAGCACGAUCAUAAAUUAAGUGAAUAUACUUUGCAAAGUG
rnacentral:lncRNA from 1 species